rnacentral:rRNA from 1 species
UACGAAGGGGGCUAGCGUUGUUCGGAAUUACUGGGCGUAAAGCGCACGUAGGCGGAUCGAUCAGUCAGGGGUGAAAUCCCAGAGCUCAACUCUGGAACUGCCUUUGAUACUGUCGAUCUAGAGUAUGGAAGAGGUGAGUGGAAUUCCGAGUGUAGAGGUGAAAUUCGUAGAUAUUCGGAGGAACACCAGUGGCGAAGGCGGCUCACUGGCCCGAUACUGACGCUGAGGCACGAAAGCGUGGGGAGCAAACAGG